UACGAAGGGUCCAAGCGUUAUCCGGAUUCAUUGGGUUUAAAGGGUGCGCAGGCGGGGCUUUAAGUCAGUGGUGAAAUCCCGUAGCUCAACUACGGAACUGCCAUUGAUACUGAAGUCCUUGAAUGUAGUUGACGUUAGUGGAAUGUGUCAUGUAGCGGUGAAAUGCUUAGAUAUGACACAGAACACCGAUCGCGAAGGCAGCUAACGAAGCUAUUAUUGACGCUCAGGCACGACAGCAUGGGGAGCAAACAGG
rnacentral:rRNA from 1 species